AGGACGAACGCUGGCGGCGUGCCUAAUACAUGCAAGUCGAGCGGACCUGAUGGAGUGCUUGCACUCCUGAUGGUUAGCGGCGGACGGGUGAGUAACACGUAGGCAACCUGCCCGUAAGACCGGGAUAACUACCGGAAACGGUAGCUAAUACCGGAUAAUCAAGUCUCUCGCAUGGGAGGCUUGGGAAAGGCGGAGCAAUCUGUCACUUACGGAUGGGCCUGCGGCGCAUUAGCUAGUUGGUGGGGUAACGGCUCACCAAGGCGACGAUGCGUAGCCGACCUGAGAGGGUGAACGGCCACACUGGGACUGAGACACGGCCCAGACUCCUACGGGAGGCAGCAGUAGGGAAUCUUCCGCAAUGGACGAAAGUCUGACGGAGCAACGCCGCGUGAAGUGAUGAAGGUUUUCGGAUCGUAAAGCUCUGUUGCCAGGGAAGAACGUCCUGUAGAGUAACUGCUACAGGAGUGACGGUACCUGAGAAGAAAGCCCCGGCUAACUACGUGCCAGCCGCCGC
rnacentral:rRNA from 1 species